GACGAACGCCGGCGGCGUGCUUAACACAUGCAAGUCGAACGAUGAAGCUAGAGCUUGCUCUGGUGAAUUAGUGGCGAACGGGUGAGUAACACGUGAGUAACCUGCCCCGAACUCUGGGAUAACUGCUGGAGACGGUAGCUAAUACUGGAUACGACCUACGAAGGCAUCUUCUGUAGGUGGAACGAAUUUCGGUUCGGGAUGGACUCGCGGCCUAUCAGCUUGUUGGUGAGGUAAUGGCUCACCAAGGCGACGAAGGGUAGCCGGCCUGAGAGGGUGACCGGCCACACUGGGACUGAGACACGGCCCAGACUCCUACGGGAGGCAGCAGUGGGGAAUAUUGCACGAUGGGCGCAAGCCUGAUGCAGCAACGCCGCGUGAGGGAUGACGGCCUUCGGGUUGUAAACCUCUUUUAGCAGGGAAGAAGCGAAAGUGACGGUACCUGCAGAAAAAGCACCGGCUAACUACGUGCCAGCAGCCGCUGUAA
rnacentral:rRNA from 1 species